rnacentral:rRNA from 1 species
GACGAACGCUGGCAGCGUGCUUAACACAUGCAAGUCGAGCGAUGAAGUUCCUUCGGGAACGGAUUAGCGGCGGACGGGUGAGUAACACGUGGGUAACCUGCCUCAUAGAGGGGAAUAGCCUUCCGAAAGGAAGAUUAAUACCGCAUAAGAUUGUAGCUUCGCAUGAAGUAGCAAUUAAAGGAGUAAUCUGCUAUGAGAUGGACCCGCGUCGCAUUAGCUAGUUGGUGAGGUAACGGCUCACCAAGGCGACGAUGCGGAGCCGACCUGAGAGGGGGAUCGGCCACAUUGGGACUGAGACACGGCCCAGACUCCUACGGGAGGCAGCAGUGGGGAAUAUUGCACAAUGGGGGAAACCCUGAUGCAGCAACGCCGCGUGAGUGAUGACGGUCUUCGGAUUGUAAAACUCUGUCUUCAGGGACGAUAAUGACGGUACCUGAGGAGGAAGCCACGGCUAGCUACGUGCCAGCCGCCGCCGUAA